rfam:Schistosoma haematobium scaffold1460_1, whole genome shotgun sequence.
UACCAGCUGAGGAGCUCCGAAUAGGACGAAACGCGCGUCCUGGUU